rnacentral:rRNA from 1 species
ACUAAGAAAGUUUAGUUACUGUACCUUUUGUACCAGGGAAAUUUAAAAGCGGAUUAAGGUUAUAGUCGAUUUUAUCGGAUUCUUUUAUCUAACUGAUGAUUGUAUUAAAUGGUUAUAUAUUUAAAGGGGUGAAAAGUGUUCGACGAUGAUGGUAUCUAAGUAUCUUAAAAAUUUUAAAAGGCUAAGCUUUUAAAAUUUCAUCUCAUUUAAAAUUAAAUAAAACUAGGCUUUAAAUUAGCUUUGUUUUUAAAUUGUUUUAAAUAAAUUUAUGACAAAAAAUUAGGUGUGAAGUUAAAUAGAUUACGGGUAAAGCUUACAAUAGCCUUAAAUAAUGAAUUUAUUGAAUUUAUAAUGGAGAUAAAAAAGAACUAAGGUUUAAUUGGAAAGUUUAACAAAAACAUUUCUGUUUGUUAAAUAAAAAGUAAGACCUGCCCGGUGAGGUUUAAACGGCUGCGGUAUUUUGACUGUGCUAAGGUAGCAUAAUCAUUUGUUUUUUAAUUGUUAACUGGAAUGAAAGGUCAAACCAAUUGACUCAGUUUGUAGGUCUUUAUAAGAGAUUUAAGUAUAGGUAAGAAUUCCUAUAUCUUCUAGGGGACGAUAAGACCCUAGAAGCUUAAUAAAAAGUUUUAUGGUGGUGAUAAAAAGUAAAUUGUUUUACUGGGGCGGUUAUAGUUUAUUAACUACUAUGUAGUUAGAUGAUCCUUUGUAUAAAGAUAAAAUGGUUUAGUUACUCUAGGGGUAACAGUACAAUAUAUUUAGAGAGAUCUUAUCAAUAAAUAUGUUUGUAACCUCGAUGUUGAAUUAAGAUAUCUACGUAGGGCAGGUAAGACGAUAGAAGGUUUGUUCAACCUUUAAUU